AUACCUAAAGGAUUAUAAAUCAUGCUGCUAUAAAGACACAUGCACACGUAUGUUAAUUGCGGGCUGAUUUAUCAUUUUAACACGCAGCUCAUGGCUACCAUGGAAAGCAGGACUUUCAGGGCUGGGGUGGAGAUGGCAGGAGGCUGGAGAUGAGGUCAGGGCUGUGUCCAUCUGAGCAGAGCCUGGGGCGAAGGCAAGGUAAUUUGAGGCUACAAUGAGCUAUGAGCAACUGUGUUCCAGCCUGGGAGACAGAAUGUAAAAAAAAAAUAGUAAUAACAGAAAGUAUGCAUCAANNNNNNNGUGCAACCCGAAGCUGCUUCUGCCCAGUCCCAGCC
rnacentral:lncRNA from 1 species